rnacentral:sRNA from 1 species
AGAAAAGUAGGUGCCCGCCCCGCACAGGGGCGACGCUAAUAGACCAAUAACAAAGCAAGGAAGGCCAACGCCAUAGGCAACCAGACAAUAAGCGCGCGCAGGCAACCACCUC